ensembl:lncRNA
GCGGCAAGUAAUGCUACCCUGGAGGGUGUGGCCUGAGCAGGAAGAGGCCACCUUUGACCAUGCGUUCUCAGCUUAAGGCUGUUGCAGACAUUCCUCCUGAUUUGUUUCACUCAACUCAGUUGACUUUUUGACCAUUGCAACAAUACUCGGAACUGGAAUCUUAGGUCUUCCAGUAACGAUAGCCCAUGCUGGACUGGUGCCUUUCCUGUUCUCCUUUAUUGUUGGAUUCUUUGUCCAGGCCUUGCUAAUCUACCUGUUUGUGGAGCUUCUUCAGAAAUGUCAGGUGAUGCAGCUGGAAUCCUUAAAGACAGGUGUUGCAGAGUGUAUAGUCAUGGAUCAGGUGGGUGUGGAGGAUCCAGUUCAUACUGAGGAAGAAGAUGAUGACAGUGAAAAUGCAGAAGCAGAUACAGGUUUACUACAGCCGGAUGCAGCAGCUCUGCAUGACCAAGCCGGCAGUCUGCAGCCGAACCUUCAUCUGCUUGGGCGAAUCUUCCUCUCCCGCCCCAUGAGCCAUGCUUUUAACUGCAUUCUCCUCUUCCAAUUCAUUUCAAUUGGAAUUAGUUAUGUCUUAGCUGGCAGUGAGGCCUACGCUGCACUUCUUAAUAUCAGCCACAUCUAUGUGAUCCCAGUCUUCACCUGGAGCCUGACUCUUGCUAUUUUACUGGCCCACACAGUUAUUCAGCCAAUCACUUCAGUGCUCACCCUCCUGAAAGGAAUCCUCCUCAUUGUCACGGUGGCUGUGACAUUUGCAGUAGGGUCAGAGGUCGGCCUUCAGAGCAGCAGUGACUUCAGUCAGAUGGGAAAACCUUUCCUAAUGGGCACAGUGGCUCUGGGUGGGAUUGUAAACGUGAUGCCUCUGCUUUUCUCACAGAUCUCACACAACAGAACACAGAUCCUGUGGUUUCGGAGAGCAGUGAUUGGAGGUCUGACAACCUGCACUGUGCUCAACAUCCUCUGGUGCUGGGCAGUGCUGGAAAUUGUCCCGCAGACAUCAUUCCCAGAGAGGAGGAUGACACCUGAAACAGCAACCAGGCCUGACUACAGCAGCCCCUCUGGUCCUCCAUCCUCAGUCUCCUCACAGAAAUACUCGAACAUCUCACUAGAAGAGUCAGAAAAAGCAGGAGAGAUUGCCACUAUUCCCCUGACUAAGUCGAUGGUCUGGUGAGCUCACUGUGGAGCAGCAAGCUGGAGUGGCUGACUAAAGCCUGGGAGCCAAAGUUGCCAAAUAAACAGCACAUCUGCUCAGCAAGAAGCGUGGCCAAAGGAUUCAUGUCACUGCUCGGGUUCGUUGUCAUCUUUAUUGUGUCUGUGUGUGAUCCCAGGGGUUUUGUUGUCAUGUUGGACAAAGUUGUGUCGUUCUCCCUCAACACUGAAGUGGGACUGUUUGUCUUCAUCAUGCUGAGAGAAUCCAGAGAGGACAGAUUCCAACAGCUUGCUGUCCCUCUGCCACUGGGCGACUGCGCGUUCAGCCUCAGCUGGCUGCUGCCCACCUACUUCCUGUUUGCAGUAACCUACGACGUCCUGCAGACCCUGGCGGAUCUGGCUCAUUAUAUGCAUUUCUACAACCACGAUCAGGAGCCACACAUUUACAAUCUGACGGGGAGUUUAGCAGCAGCCAAUCUCUCCACCCUCCUCUGAUCUAAGCAGCUAGUUAAGGCACAAACUGGUAGGAGUUAAAAUUGCCAAAAUGACAAGCUUAGCACCUUUGUUUGUUUUUUUUUAUUUGUGCACUGCACUUUCCCAAAAAACGUGUAUGUAUCAAUCUAACAGUCAGCUGCAGCUGCAGAGGGCUCUCUUCUGUUAUCUCACAGUGGCCAUCCUUGCUCAAGUUAGCGACACAGUAGAGAUCAAAAUUUCAGACUGUUUUUUUUUUUCCUUUCAGUGGCCUUCAUGGCAUAUUAGCUGUAGAUUUAGGACUCAUCUAGGGUUUUACUCAAAAUAAUGAAGUGUGGACCCAGUGUGUAACUACAGUGAUCGAAAUUAGAUAAAAGUUUUUGUUGCUAUAAAACAAUAGACAUCUAAAAAUUAAAUUCCUGAUCAUUAAGAACUGUAGAAGCCAUCUUAAUUGGAGCGGCUGGCAGAUCUGCAGCGUGGAUGUUACCAAUUCCACGCCUGCUCCGUUUGAUUUCGUCCCGCUGUUUCUUCAUCUCGUCCUCAGUCUACUAACCGUUGUGGAUUUCUUAGCCAUAGCAUUGUCCUCAGCAGUCAACCAGAGAUUCUCGAUUGGGUUUAGUUCAGGAUUCAGGGUUUGCUAUUUCAUUAUUUCAGGCUUAACAGCUGCAAGGAAGUGCUUUCCCAGUUCUGCAGAGUGAUUACGGAGCAUUGUCUUGCAUAAAUAUUGUUGGCUGAUUAGAAGCUGAUGUCAGGGAGGGAAUAAUCUGUGUUGAAGGAGCUUCUGCGGGACAUUAGCAUUCACCUUGCUGAGGUGAUGUGUAAGAGGCUCAAACUUUGCAGCAGAAAACAUCCACCAAACCAUUAACCUCCCUCCUCCAAACUUAACUGGCUUCUUCACACUGGUGUGGGUGCAUUUGUUUUCCAGUUUUAGUGCAGAACAUGAUGCUUCCUGUGUGAAUUUAUCAUUAUACCAGUUCCUCUGUGUCCACGUGAUCUGUUCCUCUGCAGAUUUCAGUAUACUCUUUUGAUUCUUCCUGUUUGAUGAUUGGUUUGGUCACUGCGGGCUUUCAGUCUGAUUUCUGUAUACCAAGAAAGAACCUUACACCUUUUCAGACGAGAAUCGGCAUCAGUGUUGAAUCAAAUCUGUACUGAGACUUUUCUCCUCUUCUCCUUCGGCUUGUAUAGACGGCCAGCAUUUUAGAGGUAAACUGCUUGAAUAUUCUAGCAGUCAGUGCUCUUUCAACAACCGGCUCCUCUAAUACAUUCAGCCUCCACUUGAACCACAGCCAUCAACAACCAGCAGCUCCCCAUCUUUCAAAAUGAUUGUUCUCUAUUUUUAUGGGGUCUGUCAGAUCCCAAAGCGUUCUCUAGUUUUGAUCACGGUUCCUUUAGAAAUUUUCAUUAAAGUUUUUUUGCAGUUUUGUUGUACAGUAUUUAGAGUGUUUUCAAAUUCAACGCUAUUCUUCAAUGACAUCUUUUUAUUAGUGUUAGGGUAACUUUAAAUUAGAAUUGUUACAGCCUUGACUUUGUUCUCUAAUUUUGGUCUCUACUGUACAAUAGUGCCAUUUUUCUGGGUGUGCUUAGUUCGUAUUAAGUCGACUUCUCUUAACUCUCAUUUUGAGUCUUUUAUACAGCCUUUUAACCAGGCUGCAGUCAUAGCUUCUGAGUCUGUGUGAUGGGUAGAGCACAGACUAACUGGGUAAUAUUUAGAUUGGAAAACAGAUUAAUGUUCAAAAAGCGAGAGACAGGUUAAAUCCUACUGAGAUGAAACGUUUCAGCAUGCUUAGUUUUUUGCAUCCAGUAUGACGGUAAAUACCGUUUGAAAUUCUUAGUGCUGUGCAAAAGUUUCAAGCAAGUAAAGUGAGGAUAGUUUGCAUUUAUCAGCUGUUAACGUUUUACAGAUUGUGAAGUAGGGCGAAACCUAAAUGAAAUCAGUGCUUGGUGUGAGCAGCCUUUGCCUUUUAAAUCGGCACCAAUUCAUGUCGGUACACUUGCACAAAGUUCUUUUAAGUCAUUCGGAAGGCAGGUUGUUCCAGGAAUCCCAACAGUUCUCAUGUGGAUUUCCUCUGCCUGUGUCUUCUGUCUCUUCAUGUAAUCCCAGACUCACUCCGUGAUGUAGAGAUCAGAGUUCUGUGGGUGUUACACCAUCUGUUACAGGACUUCUUGUUCUUGUUGUGGCUGAAGUUAGUUUUUCAUGACUGGCUGUUGCGAGGCAUCUUCAUGCUGUAUAAUGAAUCUGGGCUGCUUUCCUGAAUAUGGUGUCUGAUAAAUGGGACUAAACAUCAGAAACUUCUGCACAGUACUAUUUAUUACUUUGUUAUAGAUUUACUCCGUAACGCCUUAUGCAGAGUAUAAAAAUGGCAUUUAUUUAAACAGUAAUGUAUAAUAGUAGAGUAAGUUAUAUAGUUAUGACAUAGGAAGAUCUCUUCUUCAGGGUUUUUCAGCCUUUUCUGCAGUCUACAUUAUUUUCAUACUAAUAAUAUUGCAGUGCACACACAGGCACACGCACACACAAUCAUG